rfam:Pteropus alecto contig62879, whole genome shotgun sequence.
GUCAUGAGACCCUGAACAAGCCUGAUCCCGUCUGAUUUCGGAAGCUAAGCAGGGUUGGGCCUGGUUAGUACUUGGAUGGGAGACCACCUAGGAAGACCAGGUGC